rfam:Habropoda laboriosa contig6275, whole genome shotgun sequence.
GAGUGGGUGGCGUAGUGGGUAAAGCCUCGGCUUGCUAAGCCGAAGGUCCCGGGUUCGAUUCCCGUUUGGGUCC